AAUUAAGUAGUAUAAGAGCAUUUGGUGGAUGCCUUGGCGCUAACAGGCGAUGAAGGACGUAACAUGCUGCGAUAAGCUGCGGGGAGCUGCAAGUGAGCUUUGAUCCGCGGAUUUCCGAAUGGGGAAACCCACCCUUAGGGGUAUCCUGUACUGAAUACAUAGGUACCGGAGGCAAACCUGGUGAACUGAAAUAUCUAAGUAGCCAGAGGAAAAGACAUCAACCGAGAUUCCGCUAGUAGUGACGAGCGAACGCGGACCAGGCCAGUGGUGCAAUUGUUUUAACUAGAACAUGUCUGGAAAGUCGGACCAUAGUGGGUGAUAGUCCCGUAUAGGUAAGAAACGAUUGCAUCCUUGAGUAAGGCGGGACACGUGAAAUCCUGUCUGAACAUGGGGGGACCACCCUCCAAGCCUAAAUACUCGUUAGCGACCGAUAGUGAACAAGUACCGUGAGGGAAAGGUGAAAAGCACCCCGACAAGGGGAGUGAAACAGCACCUGAAACCGAAUGCUUACAAACAGUUGGAGCGUCCUUGCGACGUGACAGCGUACCUCUUGUAUAAUGGGUCAGCGACUUAGUGUAUGCAGCAAGCUUAAGACGAUAGUUGUAGGCGUAGCGAAAGCGAGUCUGAAUAGGGCGACAUAGUUGCAUGCAUUAGACCCGAAACCGGGUGAUCUAGCCAUGGCCAGGUUGAAGGUGCAGUAACAUGCACUGAAGGACCGAACCCACUUCUGUUGAAAAAGAAGGGGAUGAGCUGUGGUUAGGGGUGAAAGGCUAAUCAAACUCGGAAAUAGCUGGUUCUCCGCGAAAUCUAUUUAGGUAGAGCGUCGCGAGAUUGCCAUCGGGGGUAGAGCACUGGAUGGGCUAGGGGGACCCAAAGUCUUACCAAACCUAACCAAACUCCGAAUACCGAUGAGUAUAUCGCGGCAGACAGACGGCGGGUGCUAAGGUCCGUCGUCGAGAGGGAAACAGCCCAGACCACCAUCUAAGGUCCCCAAGUCUUGGCUAAGUGGGAAAGGAUGUGGGACAGCCAUAACAACCAGGAGGUUGGCUUAGAAGCAGCCAUCCUUUAAAGAAAGCGUAAUAGCUCACUGGUCUAAUAGCCGUCCUGCGCCGAAAAUGUAUCGGGGCUCAAGCCAAGCACCGAAGAUGUGGACUCCUAGCAAUAGGAGUGGUAGCGGAGCGUUCUGUAAGCCUGCGAAGGUGCACCGUCAGGUGUGCUGGAGGUAUCAGAAGUGAGAAUGCUGACAUGAGUAACGAAACAAGCGUGAGAAACGCUUGCACCGAAAAUCCAAGGGUUCCUGCGUAAAGUUAAUCUGCGCAGGGUUAGCCGGCUCCUAAGGCGAGGCCGAAAGGCGUAGUCGAUGGAAAUCACGUUAAUAUUCGUGAGCCUGCUGGAAGUGACGGAGGGCGAAAGUUGUAGAAGAUUAUUGGAUUUCUUCUGCAGCCUGGCACUCCCAGGAAAUAGCUCCAGCGUAUAGGCCGUACCCUAAACCGACACAGGUGGAUUGGUAGAGUAUACCAAGGUGUUUGAGAGAACUAUGCUGAAGGAACUAGGCAAAUUACACCUGUAACUUCGGGAUAAGGGUGGCCCGUCUAUAGGCAACUAUUGGCGGGUGGCACAAACUAGGGGGUAGCGACUGUUUAGUAAAAACACAGGGCUCUGCGAAGCCGCUAAGGCGACGUAUAGGGUCUGAUGCCUGCCCGGUGCUGGAAGGUUAAGAGGAGAGGUGCAAGCUUUGAAUCGAAGCCCCAGUAAACGGCGGCCGUAACUAUAACGGUCCUAAGGUAGCGAAAUUCCUUGUCGGGUAAGUUCCGACCCGCACGAAUGGCAUAACGACUUCCCCACUGUCUCCAGCAUAGACUCAGUGAAAUUGGAUUCCCCGUGAAGAUACGGGGUUCCCGCGGUUAGACGGAAAGACCCUGUGCACCUUUACUAUAACUUUGCAGUGGUAUUAGAAGUUGAAUGUGUAGGAUAGGUGGGAGGCUACGAAGCCUUGGCGCAAGCCGAAGUGGAGCCAACCUUGAAAUACCACCCUUUCAAUUUUUGAUAUCUAACUGAGUCCCGUUAUCCGGGACCAGGACCCUGCAUGGUGGGUAGUUUGACUGGGGCGGUCGCCUCCCAAAAAGUAACGGAGGCGCGCGAUGGUAAGCUCAAGCUGGUCGGAAAUCAGCUGUAGAGUGCAAUGGCAUAAGCUUGCCUGACUGCGAGACAAACAAGUCGAGCAGAGACGAAAGUCGGUCAUAGUGAUCCGGUGGUUCAGUGUGGAACGGCCAUCGCUCAACGGAUAAAAGGUACGCCAGGGAUAACAGGCUGAUGAUUCCCAAGAGUCCAUAUCGACGGAAUCGUUUGGCACCUCGAUGUCGGCUCAUCACAUCCUGGGGCUGGAGCAGGUCCCAAGGGUUCGGCUGUUCGCCGAUUAAAGUGGUACGUGAGCUGGGUUUAGAACGUCGUGAGACAGUUCGGUCCCUAUCUGCCGUGGGUGUAGGAAAAUUGAGAGGAUCUGACCUUAGUACGAGAGGACCGGGUUGGACGUACCUCUGGUGUACCAGUUGUCGCGCCAGCGGCAUGGCUGGGUAGCUAUGUACGGAAGGGAUAACCGCUGAAAGCAUCUAAGCGGGAAACCCACCUCAAAACAAAUUUUCCCUGAGAGUCGUGGUAGACCACCACGUUGAUAGGCCGCAUGUGUAAGCGCAGCAAUGCGUUCAGCUAAGCGGUACUAAUAACUCGAUAGGCUUAACUUU
rnacentral:rRNA from 1 species